UAUUCUGCCCCAUGGGGAAGGAUGAGAAGCUUCGACUAAGGUUCGACUCGAGCGAAGCGAGAG
rnacentral:sRNA from 1 species